CUUUUCCAUUCAUGCCAGUGGCAUCUAUGAUGUGUGAGAGAAGAAACUGUCCCUGGAAUUGUUCUGUAUCUUGAGGAAGCUCCCUGUGUCUACCCCAGAAAGCAGGAGCAAGGCUUGCCUCUUUAUUAUUUCACCAAAGCAGAGAACCAUUCACUGGUACAGAGUUGUGUUCACUUUCCACUCAGAGAGAGAGAGACAAUUAAGAAAAGGGAUUUGCAUGAGGGAUGUCAAUGAUCUGUUUCUUAUUGUCAGCUUCUGUACCUUUUUCUCUCUUUUUCCAGUGCUUUUUUAAUGCCAUAUGUAGGCAAAUUACAAAUAAACAAAACCAAGAAGAAAAAUGUAAGCUGUGGGCUGAUGACAUUGCUUAGCAAAAAAUGAGUCUCACACACAGGCGGCUGCACUCCAGAUUUCAAUUUAAUUCACUUUCCACAAGCAACAAGAGCAAGAAUAAUAUGCUUCAAUGUAGGGAGAUCAGAGAAGAGAAGCUUCACUGCAUUUUGAGACCGAGAAUGACUGAAUGAGGUGGCAGUGGUGGCAGCCGCUGCUCAUCACAAGAUGGAGAAAGGCUGGAAAAUGAAAUGGAAGUUGAAAGUGGUUGUUGUGAGUCAGGCUCCGACUAUGGUGACCUGUCUUGCUGUGAGAAUACACAUGGAAACCAGCCUUCCACAGAGCCAAACAUAGACAUGUCUGUAAUCUCUGGACACUAAGAAAUAAGCUUCUUACAGACAGAAUCUGGAAAGAUGUCUGCCAAGAGUGGGGAUGCAGGGACUAGAAAACAAAAGCAAAGCCCAUCUUUCACUGGAGCAUGUCUGCACAAACAUUCUGCUGACUGACGAUAGACAUACAAGUUGUGAAUACACUUAAAAUGUAUGAGUGUGAAAAGUGUCUACAUACAAUUAUUAUCUAUUAUUUACUUGUUAUUUAUUUAUUAUUUACUGAAAUCCUACUUUGUCAGGCAUCAGGCUAAGUGCCUUAUUACAUUAUGUGAUUCAUUCUCCAUAAUAACCAUUUGAUGUAGAAGCUAUCAUUUUCACAAUUUUUCAUAUGGGGAAACCAAGGCCUAGAAAAGAAAAGUUCUUCCUUGGCAAGUAACCAUUUUUAAAGAGAAAAGAAUUUUAUCCCAGAAGAAAACAUUUUAUCUCUGUUCAUGUGAAUGAAAUAUACACAUAUAUUUAUAUUUACAUCAAAGAUCUAAUUAAAAUUCAGUAGUGAAACAAAACACCA
rnacentral:lncRNA from 10 species